rnacentral:rRNA from 1 species
UACGUAGGGUCCAAGCGUUAUCCGGAAUCACUGGGCGUAAAGCGUGCGUAGGUGGCGCGUUAAGUGAGAUGCGAAAUCCUGUGGCUCAACCAUAUGGACUGUAUCUCAUACUGGCGUGCUUGAGGAUGGCAGAGGCAAGUGGAAUUACGGGUGUAGCAGUGAAAUGCGUAGAGAUCCGUAGGAACACCAAUGGCGAAGGCAGCUUGCUGGGCCACCCCCUGACACUGAGGCACGAAAGCGUGGGGGAGCGAACAGG